AUGGUUUUACUCCAGACUCUUCAGAUUCCAAAGACUACAGUAAGUUGGGAUAUUACUUCAGCACCUGUCAAAUUUCUGAGCAGGAAUUCUAUGCCCGACGUGCUUGCUCUUGAACCUCCACCAGGCCGAUUUUGUCCAGCAAGAACCUAUUUGGGGAGCAUAGUUUAUCAAAGCUUUCAAUGGUUCGUCAUUAUCUAA